ACGAGGGCGCAUUGUUCCAAAUAAUACCAAAAGAUUUGGAUCUCCAACAAAAGUUCACAUUUCUGUUCAACUUUUCAUUAACUCCUGGAGCUUGGAUGGCUCUGAACGACUGUCUCUACCCUAACGCUCACAGAUGGAGCUGGGGAUUCACAAAGAGGCGAUGUCACAAGUUUGAUUGGUACGGAAACGAGCCUGUGUACCAUAAAACAGGAGACUGGAAUUGUGGAGCUUUUUGGUCCAGUUACAAAUAUCACUGGCAUGUCGAUAGUUGUGCUCAGAGAAACUACUACGUCUGUGAAAUGAAAUUGGGAAAACCUUGUAAAUGCCAGUACUGAUUUUUAUAGAUAUAUAAAUGUAGGUAUUGAAUAAAAAUGUUUGCUAA